CCUACGGGAGGCAGCAGUGGGGAAUAUUGCACAAUGGGGGAAACUCUGAUGCAGCGACGCCGCGUGAGUGAAGAAGUAAUUCGUUAUGUAAAGCUCUAUCAUCAGGGAAGAAAAGGACGGUACUUGCGUAAGAAUCCUCGGCAAACAACGUGCAGCCAGCCGCGGUAAUACGUAGGGGGCAAGCUGUAUCCGGAUUUAUUGGUGGUCAGGGGAGCGUAGACGGCAGUGCAUGUAUAGAGUGAAAAGCGAGGGCUCAACCCCCGGACUGCCCUGGAAACUGUACGGCUGGAGUGCAGGAGAGGUAAGUGGAAUUCCUAGGGUAGCGGUGGAAUGCGUAGAUAUUAGGAGGAACACCAGUGGCGAAGGCGACUUACUGGACUGUAACUGACGUUGAUGCUCGAAAGCGUGGGGAGCAAACAGGAUUAGAUACCCCAGUAGUC
rnacentral:rRNA from 1 species